GGAGGUGUUGCUGAGCGGUUGAAAG
rnacentral:tRNA from 1 species